AUUGAACGCUGGCGGCAUGCCUUACACAUGCAAGUCGAACGGCAGCGGGCCUUCGGGUGCCGGCGAGUGGCGAACGGGUGAGUAAUGCAUCGGAACGUGCCAUUGAGUGGGGGAUAACGUAGCGAAAGUUACGCUAAUACCGCAUAUUCUGUGAGCAGGAAAGCAGGGGAUCGCAAGACCUUGCGCUCUGGGAGCGGCCGAUGUCGGAUUAGCUAGUUGGUGGGGUAAAGGCCUACCAAGGCGACGAUCCGUAGCGGGUCUGAGAGGAUGAUCCGCCACACUGGGACUGAGACACGGCCCAGACUCCUACGGGAGGCAGCAGUGGGGAAUUUUGGACAAUGGGCGAAAGCCUGAUCCAGCCAUGCCGCGUGAGUGAAGAAGGCCUGGUGUAAGCUCUUCGUGGAGAAUAGCAUAGGCGUAAUAACCCU
rnacentral:rRNA from 1 species